AGAGUUUGAUCAUGGCUCAGAACGAACGCUGGCGGCGUGCUUAACACAUGCAAGUCGAACGGUACCAAAGCGUAGUAAUAUGCUUUGGUAUAGUGGCGGACGGGUGAGUAACGCGUGAGCGACCUACCUUAAAGAGGGGGACAACAUCCGGAAGCGGAUGCUAAUACCGCAUAAGACCACGGUGGCGCAUGUCACAGGGGUAAAAGGAGAAAUCCGCUUUAAGAUGGGCUCGCGUCCCAUUAGCUGGUUGGUGAGGUAACGGCUCACCAAGGCGACGAUGGGUAGCCGACGUGAGAGGGUGAUCGGCCACACUGGAACUGAGACACGGUCCAGACUCCUACGGGAGGCAGCAGUGGGGAAUAUUGGGCAAUGCGCGAAAGCCUGACCCAGCAACGCCGCGUGAUUGAAGAAGGUCUUCGGAUUGUAAAGAUCUGUCCUAUGGGACGAAGAAAGUGACGGUACCAUAGGAGGAAGCCCCGGCUAACUACGUGCCAGCAGCCGCGGUAAUACGUAGGGGGCGAGCGUUGUCCGGAAUUACUGGGCGUAAAGGGUGCGCAGGCGGCGUGCUAAGUCAGAUGUGAAAUAUCCGGGCUUAACCUGGAGGGUGCAUUUGAAACUGGCAGGCUUGAGUGCAGGAGAGGAAAGUGGAAUUCCUAGUGUAGCGGUGAAAUGCGUAGAUAUUAGGAGGAACACCAGUGGCGAAGGCGACUUUCUGGACUGUAACUGACGCUGAGGCACGAAAGCGUGGGGAGCAAACAGGAUUAGAUACCCUGGUAGUCCACGCUGUAAACGAUGGAUACUAGGUGUAGGGGGCGAUAGCUCUCUGUGCCGCAGCAAACGCAAUAAGUAUCCCGCCUGGGGAGUACGAUCGCAAGGUUGAAACUCAAAGGAAUUGACGGGGGCCCGCACAAGCAGCGGAGCAUGUGGUUUAAUUCGACGCAACGCGAAGAACCUUACCAAGGCUUGACAUCCCUUGACGGCACGUAGAAAUACGUGUUCCCUUCGGGGCAAGGAGACAGGUGGUGCAUGGUUGUCGUCAGCUCGUGUCGUGAGAUGUUGGGUUAAGUCCCGCAACGAGCGCAACCCUUAUUGCUAGUUGCCAGCAUGUAAAGAUGGGAACUCUAGUGAGACUGCCGGGGACAACUCGGAGGAAGGUGGGGACGACGUCAAAUCAUCAUGCCCCUUAUGUCUUGGGCUACACACGUGCUACAAUGGCCGGUACAAAGGGUAGCGAAGCCGCAAGGCGGAGCGAAUCUCAGAAAGCCGGUCUCAGUUCGGAUGUGGGCUGCAACCCGCCCACGUGAAGUCGGAGUUGCUAGUAAUCGCGAAUCAGCAUGUCGCGGUGAAUGCGUUCCCGGGCCUUGUACACACCGCCCGUCACACCAUGGAAGUUGGGAGCACCCGAAGCCAGUGGCCUAACCGCAAGGGGGGAGCUGUCGAAGGUGAGAUCAAUGACUGGGGUGAAGUCGUAACAAGGUA
rnacentral:rRNA from 1 species